CCUACGGGAGGCAGCAGUGGGGAAUAUUGCACAAUGGGGGAAACCCUGAUGCAGCAACGCCGCGUGAGUGAAGAAGUAUUUCGGUAUGUAAAGCUCUAUCAGCAGGGAAGAAAAUGACAGUACCUGACUAAGAAGCCCCGGCUAACUACGGGCCAGCAGCCGCGGGAAUACGUAGGGGGCAAGCGUUAUCCGGAUUUACUGGGUGUAAAGGGAGCGUAGACGGCUGCGCAAGUCAGAAGUGAAAGCCCGGGGCUCAACCGCGGGACUGCUUUUGAAACUGUGUAGCUAGAGUGCAGGAGAGGUAAGUGGAAUUCCUAGUGUAGCGGUGAAAUGCGUAGAUAUUAGGAGGAACACCGGUGGCGAAGGCGGCUUACUGGACUGUAACUGACGUUGAGGCUCGAAAGCGUGGGGAGCAAACAGGAUUAGAUACCCCUGUAGUC
rnacentral:rRNA from 1 species